CCUGAGAAACCCAAAAGAUCGAAUGGGGAGAUUCAUCGUCAGCUUAUUUUGUAUAUAUGCAAAUUAUGAUAUGGGUUACUACUUGUAGUAUUGCCUAUACAUUUUUGUAUAUUUAUUUGCAAAAUAUUGUCGGCGUGCACUUCUCCUCUAGUAGGACGUCGCGACCCGUUGAGUGUCGGUCUACGGCCCAAGCGGGAGCUUUUGAUAAAUUUUAUUUAUUGAAAACCCUUGGUGUUACCUGACUGGCAUUCGUCGGUAUUCGUACGGUAUUGAGUCGCAUAUUAUAUGCGUCCCUAUUCGUCACAAGCGAGGUUAGYUAYUGAUAGUGCGGACCCAGUGCCGUCGUCGGUACUAAUCAGCUGUUGGUUGAACGAAAUUCUAGGACUGACUCAACUGAAAUACCGGUCAGCGAUGCUACUGCUUUGG
rnacentral:rRNA from 1 species